rnacentral:rRNA from 1 species
UUAUUUUAAUAAAAAAAGGGACGAAUAGAUAACUAGGAUGGGCUAAAUAGGACGGAAAGACCGAAAAGGCGAGGAAGAAGCUUAGAAAUCGUAUGUCCAAGCGGAAACGCAGUGAAAAGAACUGGAAAGUGAAACAUCUCAGUACCAGAGCCGACUCACAAGAGAUCUCUUGAGGGUCUGUGGCGCAGAAAAAUCAAACGAGACCCCGUAAGUAGCGGUGAGCGAAAAUGGAUUAGUCCAAUAACUUAUUGAAGCGAGUAAAUAGUGGAAGAUAGGUGACCACACAUCUAAGACUAAAUGUUAGUCCCAUACCGAAAGAGAAAGUACUGUGAAGGAAAGUUGAAAGAGAUUUGAAAAGAUCUUGAAAUAAGUCCCUUAAAGCAGUUGUGAUACAACGUACCUUUUGUAUAAUGGGUUCACAAGAUAAAAUUUGGCAAACUUAAGUUAAACCCGAUUUUAUGUAUUACGUUACUCGGUUUAAAGAACGAAGGUGAAGUGAAAUCAAGGGGGAAACCCCUUCAGUCAAAUUACCCGAAACCAAGUGAUCUAACCAUGGACAGUUCAAAGGAGCGAACCGGUGGUUGUAGCAAAAACCUCGGAUGAUCUGUGGUUAGGGGUGAAAGACCAAUCGAACUUGGAGAUAGCUGGUUUUCUGCGAAAACUAUUGAAGUAGUGCGCCCACAAAUCCGGGCCCUUAUCAGGAUUUUACCGAGAUAUGGGGGAUUAUUUUUUCAUGGUAAAGUUCGAUCGCUCAAAACUGAGGGAUUAACUAUGAAUGUAAAAAAAUCGAAGUGGGCAGACAGACAGUAGGCGAUAAGGUCAAUUGUCAAAAGGGCAAGCCCUAAUCAGAAGUUAAAGUCAUAAAUCAAUUUUGGGUCCAAAAGGAUUCAAACAGUCAAGUGAAAAAGAGAUAUUGGAUUUAGACAAUGAGGAAGUAGGCUUGGAGCCAGCCACCUUUGAAAGAGAACGUAGCAGUUCACUCAAGAAAUUCUUCUAUCUCUAAAAUUAGGGUGGCUAAAAUUAAACUGAAACUCUGAGGGCGAAAUUCGCUUGGUAGCAGAACGUACUGUGAAAUGGUUCAGUGAGAACCCAAAGCAUCAGAAAUGAUAAUGUGAACAUGAGUAAAAAAUCGUCGGAUCACUUCCCCAGGUUUCCAAGCUCGAGCGCUUGGGUUAUACAGUCCCUAAGAUGGCAGCCUAAAGGUUGUAUCGAUGGGCUAUAGUAAUAGACGCACUUGGUGCCAGGAAAGAAUUACUAGAUAUUCGACCCUCGAUGAGAGUUAUAAAAGGUUGCACUGUACUAACCUAACACAAGUGGGGAAUAGUGAGGGGAAAAGUUUUCUUAAGGAACUCGGCAAAAUUUUGGACUCCCACUAGGGGGUUUAUUACAACACAGGGCCUCGACUGUUUACCAAAAACAUAGCUCUCUGCCAAUAUGGAAAUAGAAGUAUGGAGGGUGAGGCCUGCCCAAUGGUUGUAUCUAAAAGAGUCGGUGAGAGCCGACUUCAUAAAGACAAUUGAAUGGCCGCGGUAACACUGACCGUGAUAAUGUAGCGUAAUCAAUAGCCAAUUAAUUGUUGGCCGGUAUGAAUGGCGUCACGAAGGCCCUACUGUCUUAAGAAGAUUCCCAGUGAAAUUGAAUUCGUAGUGAAGAUGCUACGUCCAAAUUGUUAGACGAAGAGACCCCAUUGAGCUUUACUGAAAACUUAUAUGGCUGAAAUAUAUUCUAGCUCAUAAAGAUUGAUCUCACAGAGAUUUAUUUGGAGUAAGGAGUUAAAACUUAAAUAAAUAGCUAAAAUUCUGUGGUGUGAGACAUCUUGUCAGAGUCUUGUUCUAAGAUUUAACCGUUUUAGACCAUCGGCCAAAGCCGUGGGAUAAUGGGGCCCACUCUUUUAUUUUAAGAGAGCUAACUCUCCUUCAUGAUCUUUAAUCUAAUGGUGAGAGGAACGACGUAAGUUGGACAGUUUGGUUGGGGCGACCGCCUUUUAAAAAGUAACGAAGGUGAGCUUAAGGUGCAUAAUUAAUAGCAACCGCCUGACUGCAAGGGGGACGUCCCGAGCAGACACCGGAAGCCGCCAAGAACCAUUAUAUGGUUCCGGAUUUUCGAUUUCAUGAUUGAAGACCUGGACACAAGCUCUUAAGGCGGAGAAAGGUGGGCUAUAAUGACCCGUUAGUUUAGAGUGGAAUAGCUAACGAUCAACGGAUAAAAGCUACCAUGGGGAUAACAGCGUAAUAUCGUUAGAGAGCUUUCAUCGACGACGAUGUUUGCGACCUCGAUGUUGAAUUGCAGCAUCCUGGGGUGCAGUCGCUCCCAAGGGUUGGUCUGUUCGUCCAUUAAGGCUGUACAUGAUUUGAGUUAAAAGCGUGGUAACACAGCUUGGUUUCUAUCUACAAUUUGAAGAAACAUCGAUAUAAUUAUUUUCUAGUACGAAAGGACCGAAAAAUUAAUGAUCCUCUUAUUCUCUAUAAGUUACGAUCAAUUUAGAUCCUUUAAGAUCCGGCCCGCAUAGGAAAGUGGGGGCCUUUCAGCUAAUCACUGACCGCCUCUAAAGUGUGAAGAAUAUAUCGAAUUGUUUGGAUUUUAUUUUU